GUGCCUAACACAUGCAAGUCGCACGAGAAAGUGGAGCAAUCCAUGAGUAAAGUGGCGCACGGGUGAGUAACACGUGAAUCAUCUACCUCCGAGUGGGGAAUAACCUAGAGAAAUCUGGGCUAAUACCGCAUAACACUUACGAGUCAAAGCAGCAAUGCGCUUGGAGAGGAGUUCGCGGCCGAUUAGCUAGUUGGCGGGGUAAUGGCCCACCAAGGCGAUGAUCGGUAUCCGGCCUGAGAGGGCGCACGGACACACUGGAACUGAAACACGGUCCAG
rnacentral:rRNA from 1 species